rnacentral:rRNA from 1 species
AUUGAACGCUGGCGGCAGGCUUAACACAUGCAAGUCGAGCGGUAACAGAGAGAAGCUUGCUUCUCUGCUGACGAGCGGCGGACGGGUGAGUAAUGCCUAGGAAUCUGCCUAGUAGUGGGGGAUAACUUGCCGAAAGGUAAGCUAAUACCGCAUACGUCCUACGGGAGAAAGGAGGGGACCUUCGGGCCUUUCGCUAUUAGAUGAGCCUAGGUCGGAUUAGUUAGUUGGUGAGGUAAUGGCUCACCAAGACCGCGAUCCGUAACUGGUCUGAGAGGAUGAUCAGGCACACGGGAACUGAGACACGGUCCAGACUCCUACGGGAGGCAGCAGUGGGGAAUAUUGGACAAUGGGGGGAACCCUGAUCCAGCCAUGCCGCGUGUGUGAAGAAGGUCUUAGGAUUGUAAAGCACUUUAAGUUGGGAGGAAGAGCAGUUAACUAAUAUUUGACUGUUUUGACGUUACCGACAGAAUAAGCACCGGCUAAUUUCGUGCCAGCCGCCGCGGUAAGAC